rnacentral:rRNA from 1 species
CACGGUUGAGUACUUGUACUUAAUGGGUGGCGAGUGGCGAACGGGUGAGUAAUGCGCACGGAAUAUGCCUUGAAGAGGGGGAUAACUUGGGGGAAACUCAAGCUAAUACCGCAUACGCUCUACGGAGCAAAGCUGGGGACCUUCGGGCCUGGCACUUUGAGAAUAGCCUGCGUCCGAUUAGCUAGUUGGUAGGGUAAAGGCCUACCAAGGCGACGAUCGGUGGCUGGUCUGAGAGGAUGGACAGCCACACUGGGACUGAGACACGGCCCAGACUCC